UACGUAGGGUGCAAGCGUUGUCCGGAAUUAUUGGGCGUAAAGAGCUCGUAGGCGGUUUGUUGCGUCGGCUGUGAAAUCCCGAGGCUCAACCUCGGGUCUGCAGUCGAUACGAGCAAACUAGAGUGUUGCAGGGGAGACUGGAAUUCCUGGUGUAGCGGUGAAAUGCGCAGAUAUCAGGAGGAACACCGGUGGCGAAGGCGGUUCUCUGGGCAUGUCCUGACGCUGAGGAGCGAAAGCGUGGGGAGCGAACAGG
rnacentral:rRNA from 1 species